GAGAACUGAAACAUCUAAGUACCCCGAGGAAAAGAAAUCAACCGAGAUUCCCUCAGUAGCGGCGAGCGAACGGGGAUUAGCCCUUAAGCAUCUUGGAAGUUAGUGGAACGGUCCUGGAAAGGCCGGCGAUACAGGGUGAUAGCCCCGUACACGAAAACAACCUUGAUGUGAAAUCGAGUAGGGCGGGACACGUGACAUCCUGUCUGAAUAUGGGGGGACCAUCCUCCAAGGCUAAAUACUCCUGACUGACCGAUAGUGAACCAGUACCGUGAGGGAAAGGCGAAAAGAACCCCUGUGAGGGGAGUGAAAUAGAACCUGAAACCGUGUACGUACAAGCAGUGGGAGCCCUUCGGGGUGACUGCGUACCUUUUGUAUAAUGGGUCAGCGACUUACAUUUUGUAGCGAGGUUAACCGUAUAGGGGAGCCGUAGGGAAACCGAGUCUUAACUGGGCGUCUAGUUGCAAGGUGUAGACCCGAAACCGGGUGAUCUAGCCAUGGGCAGGUUGAAGGUUGAGUAACAUCAACUGGAGGACCGAACCCACUAACGUUGCAAAGUUAGGGGAUGACCUGUGGCUGGGGGUGAAAGGCCAAUCAAACUCGGAGAUAGCUGGUUCUCCCCGAAAGCUAUUUAGGUAGCGCCUCGGACGAAUACUACUGGGGGUAGAGCACUGUUUGGGCUAGGGGGUCAUCCCGACUUACCAACCCCAUGCAAACUCCGAAUACCAGUAAGUAAUAUCCGGGAGACACACGGCGGGUGCUAACGUCCGUCGUGAAGAGGGAAACAACCCAGACCGCCGGCUAAGGUCCCAAAGUUCUGGUUAAGUGGGAAACGAUGUGGGAAGGCUCAGACAGCUAGGAUGUUGGCUUAGAAGCAGCCAUCAUUUAAAGAAAGCGUAAUAGCUCACUAGUCGAGUCGGCCUGCGCGGAAGAUGUAACGGGGCUCAAACCAGGCACCGAAGCCGCGGAUUCACGCUAAGCGUGAGUGGUAGGGGAGCGUUCUGUAAGUCUGCGAAGGUGUGUCGAGAGGCAUGCUGGAGAUAUCAGAAGUGCGAAUGCUGACGUAAGUAACGAUAAAGGGGGUGAAAAGCCUCCUCGCCGGAAGACCAAGGGUUCCUGUCCAACGUUAAUCGGGGC
rnacentral:rRNA from 1 species